GGCAAUAAACAUCAACCCACUACCAAAGAGUAUUUCCUCGAAAGUGAUGGAUGCCUUGGAUAAUCGACCCAUCUUUAUAAGACUAAAGGGGCUGGAAUUAAUGAGAGGUUCUUCGGCCAAAGCUCGUGUACUCUACGCUCCAGUGGAAAGAUUUUACAAGUUCUAAUGUUUUCUUAUAAAUGUUGUAUGUUUGGAAUGAUUUUUGAGAAGUG